rnacentral:rRNA from 1 species
UCCUAGCUGUAAACGAUGUAGACUAGGUGUGGGAGGUAUCGACCCCUUCCGUGCCGACGCUAACGCAUUAAGUCUACCGCCUGGGGAGUACGGCCGCAAAGGUUAAAAACUCAAAGGAAUUGACGGGGGCCCGCACAAGCGGUGGAUCAUGUGGUUUAAUUCGACACUACGCGAAGAACCUUACCUGGGCUCGAACGACUAGUGGUACUCCUGAUG